rnacentral:rRNA from 1 species
AACGAACGCUGGCGGCAGGCUUAACACAUGCAAGUCGAGCGGGCAUAGCAAUAUGUCAGCGGCAGACGGGUGAGUAACGCGUGGGAACGUACCUUUUGGUUCGGAACAACACAGGGAAACUUGUGCUAAUACCGGAUAAGCCCUUACGGGGAAAGAUUUAUCGCCGAAAGAUCGGCCCGCGUCUGAUUAGCUAGUUGGUGAGGUAAUGGCUCACCAAGGCGACGAUCAGUAGCUGGUCUGAGAGGAUGAUCAGCCACAUUGGGACUGAGACACGGCCCAAACGCCUGCGAGAGGCAGCAGUGGGGAAUAUUGGACAAUGGGCGCAAGCCUGAUCCAGCCAUGCCGCGGGAGUGAUGAAGGCCCUAGGGUUGUAAAGCUCUUUUGUGCGGGAAGAUAAUGACGGUACCGCAAGAAUAAGCCCCGGCUAACUUCGUGCCAGCCGCCGCCGUAA